UACGGAGGGUGCAAGCGUUGUCCGGAAUCACUGGGCGUAAAGGGCGCGUAGGCGGCUCAUGGAAGGCUGUGGUGAAAGUCCGGGGCUCAACCUCGGAAUCGGCCGUGGCGACUCGUGGGCUGGAGCACUGUAGAGGCGGGUGGAAUUCCGGGUGUAGCGGAUGGAAUGCGUAGAGGAAUCCGGAAGAACACCAGUGGCGAAGGCGGCCCGCUGGGCAGUGGCUGACGCUGAGGCGACGACGAGCGUGGGGAGGCAAACAGG
rnacentral:rRNA from 1 species